rnacentral:lncRNA from 1 species
AUUGAGGCCCAUAUCUCUGGAGCCCAAUAGCUUAUUUAUUAAUUUUAGGGUUUCCUACGCUGGAGGUAACACUGUUGAGCGUUCCAAACUUGACGUCUCUUGGUGUAAUACUUUAAGCACCCAAAAACUCUAACCUCCAACAAUCUUAAAGUAUUACGAUCCUAUGUCGGAUUUGAGCGAGUAAGGUGUCGAUUCGAAGAUCUCGUCAAGACGAAUUCACCGGUAUAAUUUAUUUUCGAUUUCGACGAUCAGAUUUGCCGGGAUCUGAGUUUGAAAGUUAGGCGGCGGAAUUUUUUGAUUCAAAAAUUCAGAAAUUAUAG